ACCUUCUGUGGUGUAAUUGGUAGCACCUUUACUUAGUAAAUAUAAGUCCUAGGUUCAAGUCCUGGUUGGGCUA